CUUCUGGUUGGUAACUUUAUUGUAAUGGAUCGAUUGGUGAUGGAGCAUAAUCUUCUGAGUGCAAGCAAGCUUUAUACAAACAUAAGCAUCGUUCGAGAAACAAUAGGUGCUUCGUAUGCAACACUCCAACUCUUGGCAUGUUCAAGGCUGCAAGCGAUAAAUCGUUCUCCUCAUCCUUCUCAUUGAACCCUCUCCUCGGGCUUCUUCAAGAUGAUGUUGAUCCCAUGGUGUCUGUUAUGAAGAUGUAGAAGGCACCGCUGGAAUCAUAUGCAGACAUUGGUGGACUAGAUGCUCAAAUUCAAGAAAUUAAAGAGGAAGUUGAACGUCCACUAACUCAUCCUUGUGCUGGUAACCGGUGAGGCAAUUAGAGUUUGCUUUAGUAAGUGAUAUCCUUUCACAUAUAUUUCCUAGGUCUACUAGGUAGAAGUUGAUAAUUUAGUAGAACUACUCGGCGAAGAAUGUUCAAAUACCUGCGAUGUGUUGCUGAGUCAAUAAUUUUGGUGUUUUUUCGGACUAACCUCCACCGAACUUAUUCCAAAGCAGUGUGAUUUGAAUUUCAAACAUUUAGGUUGUUUGAUUUCAAUGAACGACUCUCUUAGCUACUUAUGUUUAUAUGUUUUGGCCUGGAUUUGGCCUGAAAGUGUUACAUGGAACUCUUGACUAGGUCAACGACAAGUUGACUUGACUUUUUUUCAUGUUGCAAAAAUUUAGCAACGACCAGAAACUGUUGCUAAAUUUAGAACCAGAA